UACGUAGGGUGCGAGCGUUAAUCGGAAUUACUGGGCGUAAAGCGUGCGCAGGCGGCGCGUUAAGACAGGUGUGAAAGCCCCGAGCUUAACUUGGGAAUUGCGCUUGUGACUGGCGUGCUGGAGUGUGGCAGAGGGAGGUGGAAUUCCACGUGUAGCGGUGAAAUGCGUAGAGAUGUGGAGGAACACCAAUGGCGAAGGCAGCCUUCUGGGCCAACACUGACGCUCAUGCACGAAAGCGUGGGGAGCAAACAGG
rnacentral:rRNA from 1 species